rnacentral:rRNA from 1 species
AUGGAGGCCAUGGCCAGAGGGGAAACCCUUCUCCCAUCUAGGGAGAAGGUCAAGGAAGAAGAAGAUGAAGGGGGGUCUCUCCCCCUCGCUUCCGGUGGCGCCGAAACGCUGCCGGAGGCCAUCAUCAUCAUCACCACAAUCUACACCAACACCUCCGCCAUCUUCACCAACAUUUCCAUCACCUUCCCCCCUCUAUCUAUAGUGUUCCACUAUCCCGCAACCCGCUGUACCCUCUACUUGAACAUGGUUCUUUUUGCUUCGUAUUAUUAUUCAAUGAUGUGUUGCCAUCCUAUGAUGUCUGAGUAG